GAUGAAGAACGUAGCGAAAUGCGAUACUUGGUGUGAAUUGCAGAAUCCCGUGAACCAUCGAGUCUUUGAACGCAAGUUGCGCCCGAAGCCAUCAGGUUGAGGGCACGUCUGCCUGGGCGUCACAUAUCGUUGCCCAAUGCCUAUUGCAGUGCAAUAGGAAUUUCUAGGGCGAAUGAUGGCUUCCCGUGAGCGUUGUUGCCUCGCGGUUGGUUGAAAAUCGAGUCCUUGGUAGGGUGUGCCAUGGUAGAUGGUGGUCGAGUUAGAACGAUACCGAUCAUGUGCAUGCUCCCCAAAAUAUGGCCUCUAUGACCCACACGCGUCCUUUGACGCUCAUGACGAGACCUCAGGUCAGGCGGGGCUACCCGCUGAAUUUAAGCAUAUCAAUAAGCGGAGGA
rnacentral:misc_RNA from 1 species